GAUGAACGCUAGCGGCAGGCCUAACACAUGCAAGUCGAGGGGUAACGUGAGUGCUUGCACUUGACGACGACCGGCGCACGGGUGCGGAACGCGUAUGGAACCUACCUUUAUCAGGGAGAUAGCCCAUGGAAACGUGGAUUAAUACCCCAUAGUAUUAUUUCAUUGCAUGAUGAUAUAAUUAAAGAAUUUCGGAUAGAGAUGGCCAUGCGUAUCAUUAGCUAGUAGGCGAGGUAACGGCUCACCUAGGCAACGAUGAUUAGGGGUCCUGAGAGGGAGAUCCCCCACACUGGUACUGAGACACGGACCAGACUCCUACGGGAGGCAGCAGUGAGGAAUAUUGGGCAAUGGAGGCAACUCUGACCCAGCCAUGCCGCGUGCAGGAAGACGGCCCUAUGGGUUGUAAACUGCUUUUAUACAGGAAGAACACCACCCACGUGUGGGUGACUGACGGUACUGUAAGAAUAAGGACCGGCUAACUCCG
rnacentral:rRNA from 1 species